CAGCUCUCCGAGUGGUAGGGAUGAUUAUUGGGCUUAAAGCGUCCGUAGCCGGCUUAGCAAGUCUCCUGUUAAAUUCAGCGACCUAAUCGUUGAGCCGCGGGAGAUACUACUAGGCUAGGAGGCGGGAGAGGCCGACGGUACUUCCGGGGUAGGGGUGAAAUCCUAUAAUCCCGGGCGGACCACCAGUGGCGAAGGCUGUCGGCUAGAACGCGCUCGACGGUGAGGGACGAAAGCUGGGGGAGCGAACCGGAUUAGAGACCCGAGUAGUCC
rnacentral:rRNA from 1 species